UUUAUCAUUUAAAAAAUUGUAUUUCGUAUUCUUAGUUCCUGUACAAAAUCAAAGUCUACUUAUUAAGAUUGUUCAUUAAAAUAAAAUUAAUAGUUAUUAAUUAUUACGAUUCAUCCUAGACUAUUUCCUAAGUGUUGAUCAUUAAGUCCCACCUACAUCUGUUAUUUAUAUUUGUAAAUAAUUAUCUGGAUUUUCUACAUUAUGAAAAUAAUAAUUAUAUAAUAAGUGCGUCGUCGAAAUUGUGAAAAUUAUAUUUUAUGGUUCACCAUGCAAACGUUUUUAGAUUGUAAAGAAAAUAUUGUUGAAGAAAAACUCUGUCCCCUUUUAUUUCCAAUUAAACGGUAUCAAAUUCAAUAUGAUUUUAUGACCAAUCUUUAUACGGCGAUUAAAAAUAAAAAACAUGAAAUUUUCGAUAGUCCUACUGACAAUGUUAAGAGAUUAAGUUUCAUAAUAUUUUGUGCAGUGCGUCGGCUAUAUGGCGUUGAAGAAAGAGAAUUGGGGUAGCUAAAGAUAUUUUCUCAUGUUGGAAAAUAAUCUAUUCUUCGGUAAUAAUAGUAAAUGGAUUUGAUUCAAUACUUGAAAAUAUGUACCAACAGUAUUUGAUGGUAUCAUUUGUAUUUUUUCUCUAUCAUAUGGUAAUGAACAACUUGGGUACCAACGUUAUGGAAAAAAUAAAAUCAUAGACAUGCAUUCAGAGGAAAAAAUUCCUAUCCGGAAAAGUGUCUAGAAAAUUUAAAACAACCAACAAGUGGAUGAAGUAUUCAAAAACUAGAAGAAAUUUGUUUUUGUCGUCUGAUAUUAAAUUAACAACAAUAUUGACGUUCAAUAUCGGUGUCAUUGUUCUAAUUGUCCGGGUAUCAAUGUAUCAUGUCAAGAGCGUUAUGAGAAAAUCAGGAGUUGUCCAUGAAAGCUGUGAAUCAAUCGAUUAGUUGAUCUGUGCGUCAUCAACAGAACUAAAGCUGCCUUGAUUCCAAGUCAUCGUUAACAGAGAGAUAACGUUAAAAAUGGUUAUUUUAUGUAGCUCUAAACAUUACUACAAAAUGUUUACGGUUAGGUUAGGUAAAUUUAAACCGUAUAGUGAUUAGCUGAACUGAACGUAGGAUUCCCAAAAGUUUUAGAUCAAUUUUCUGAAUUUUUCAAUUGUAUCUUUGGACUUGAAGUAGUCUUUGUAGGAAGCAACCAACAAAAUUUACUUAAUCCAUCAAUCAAUGCAAAACGUAUUUGUAUGAUGUAACGGAAGUGUCUAAUGUGAACAUGAUAGGUAUUUAGAGAUUUCCUUAUUGCGUGAGUCUGUUCAUAACAACCAAUUUUUUUUAGCAUAUUCAUGAGAGAGUAUGCUCUUUUCUUCAAAUUUCAGUUAAAUUUGUUAAGUAACAAAUCGGUUAAAGGUUUACCAAUCAAAGAAAAGCAUUUUAUACUAUUUUUCUGAAAUAUCUAGUGAGGCCAAGAAAAAUUUUAAAUGUUCAUUGACUUGACUUGUGAUAAUCUAUUCAGAAACGUAAAACAUUGUCUUUUUUCUGAACUAAGACUAUUGGGCUUGCAUAAUUGGAACAUUUUAGGCUUAAUGAUGUCUUCUCGUAACCAUUUUUCUAUUUAUUCAUCAACUUUAAGUGUUUCUGCUUGACAUAAGCGUCGUGGUCUCCGAUAAACUAACUCUUUGGUAGUUACCAAUCACAUAUUAUGAUGACUUCAUCGGGCACAAUAUGAACAUUAUUAGUGUAUGACUAUCCAUCAGCUCACCAGAAACUACAACUUUUGUAUAGAACCUGACUUCUCUUUGCCCAUCCAGCAAUGUUACAUUCUUUUGAGUUAUAUUUCCAGACAAUAUGGAUACAAAAGCCUUCGGAUUAACAUUUACAUCACUGUCUGUAUCAACUAAGGUAUCUGUUUGUACGCUUUGUAGACUAACUAGUUUCUUUAUGUACUCGAAUAAUUGAUUCACUUGUGCUUUAAUAUUGUGAAAUGUCAGAUUUUUGUCUUGUUUUUUAUAAGUGUUUUAAUUUUUGUUUGUAAUAAUAUAUCAAAAUUAAUUUUGAAGAGUUGGUCUUCUGGUUCUUGUUCUUAAUUAAAAUUUCAUCAUUCCACGACACGCAACACUUACACUAAUUUAAAUUGUUCUAAAUAUUACGUAUUUGGUAUCGUUAUAAUGUGUCAUAUGUUUUGAUUUUUCAUGUACCAGUAUCAAUAUCUUUGUAAACUUGAUGUUUAAACUAAACCGAUUUUUUUUUUAAAACUUUUGAACAUUUAAAUGAAUCUUUUUGCAACGUAGGAGGUAUCAUGUAUCCAAGAGUUUGACAUAAUGCGUUAUUUACACAUUAACGUUUUAUGCAACUUUUUCAUGUAAUGUAAUUGAAAUAAUAAAUAAUUUCCUGUUUAACCCGAUGUACUUAAGCUGAACACGUACAUUGUGCCUACUGUUCAAAACAAUUAUUUAAAUUUUUUGGUUUGUCAAUUAAAAAAAAAAAUCAAUAAAUACAAAUUUAUUUUUAUACAUAUUAUUAUGACAAUAUUAUUGUGAAUCUUGUGUGUACAAACAAAUUUAUUUUGCACCUAUAUUUGGUUAGAAAAAUAUAUC